rnacentral:lncRNA from 1 species
UGGUGAUUCCGGUGAUACUAAUGCAGAUGUACACUCUGCUUCUGUGCUUCCGCCAUCUUCUGAUCGUGAACUUACAAUUGGUGAUUCCGGUGUUAGUAAUGCAGAUGAACAGUCUCUUUCUGGGCUCCUAUAUUCUGAUCAUGGACCUGCAAUUGGUGAUUCCAGUGAAACUAAUGUGGAUGUAUAUUCUGUUUCUGGGCUCCCAUAUUCUGAGCGUGAACUUACAAUUGGUGAUUCUGGUGUUAGUAAUGCAGAUGAACAUUCUCUUUCUGGGCUCUUAUAUUCUGAUCAUGGACCUGUAAUUGGUGAUUCCGGUGUUUCUAAUGUGGAUGUACAUUCUGUUUCUGGGCUCCCAUCUUCUGAUCAUGAACUUACAAUUGGUGAUUCCGGUGUUAGUAAUGCACAUGGACAUUCUCUUUCUGGGCUCCUAUAUUCUGAUCAGGGACCUGCAGUUGGUGAUUCCAACGAUUCUAAUGCAGAUGUACAUUCUGUUACAGUUGGUGAUUCUGGCGUUAGUAAUGCAGAUGAACAUUCUCUUUCUGGGCUCCUAUAUUCUGAUCAGGGACCUGCAAUUGGUGAUUCCAGUGAUUCUAAUGCAGAUGUACAUUCUGUUACAGUUGGUGAUUCUGGUGUUAGUAAUGCAGAUGAACAUUCUCUUUCUGGUCUCCUAUAUUCUGAUCAUGGACCUGCAAUUGGUGAUUCCAGUGAUUCUAAUGCAGAUGUACAUUCUGUUACAGUUGGUGAUUCCGGUGUUAGUAAUGCAGAUGAACAUUCUCUUUCUGGGCUCUUAUAUUCUGAUCUUGGACCUGCA